UGCUUACACAUGCAAGUCGAACGGCAGCACGGGAGCAAUCCUGGUGGCGAGUGGCGAACGGGUGAGUAAUACAUCGGAACGUGCCCAGUAGUGGGGGAUAGCCCGGCGAAAGCGGAUUAAUACCGCAUACGACCUGAGGGUGAAAGCAGGGGAUCGCAAGACCUUGCGCUAUUGGAGCGGCCGAUGUCAGAUUAGCUAGUUGGUGGGGUAAAGGCCUACCAAGGCAACGAUCUGUAGUUGGUCUGAGAGGACGACCAGCCACACUGGGACUGAGACACGGCCCAGACUCCUACGGGAGGCAGCAGUGGGGAAUUUUGGACAAUGGGGGGCAACCCUGAUCCAGCAAUGCCGCGUGCAGGAAGAAGGCCUUCGGGGUUGUAAACUGCUUUUGUCAGGGAGAAAUCUUCUGGGCUAAUACCUCGGGAGGAUGACGGUACCUGAAGAAUAAGCACCGGCUAACUACG
rnacentral:rRNA from 1 species